rnacentral:lncRNA from 1 species
UUUGAUCUCGAACUGUUUGUUCCCCAACUAGUGAUAUAUUGUUCCUUGUACACAAUAAUACUUUCUUUUGGCCCCCGUACAUACCUUUUUAGGACCAUAUAGCGGCAAUCCAUCUUGUGAAUCGAGAGUUAUUUGGAUAGUACCUAGACAUUUAAUUCACCUCAUUUUUUGUCUUACCCUAUAACGGCAGCCAUGCUAGCCCAUGUAUUGGUAAACGCCAAUCUUACUCUUUGGUUCCAAUUUCUUUCCAUUUAUGGGUUCCUUUGAUACCAUUCUGU